UGCCCACAGAGGGCUGGCUCUGGAUGCCAGCUGGACGUCGUUGGGACAGGCUGAACAGAUGAAAGCAGGAAGCAGCGGCUUUGAACCAAGAACUUCAUAUUUUCAGAAAAUGGACCGGACAGCAGGAAGGAGUGCGAGGUUGCUUUGGGAGCAGUAAACAAGUCUGGGCCACCUGCCGGGGAGGAGCCCUGACAUCUCCACAGGACACGCCAAUCUCCGUUCCUCAGCAUGUCACACUGCACAUGUCACAGUAAACAUGUGCAAGGUAAACCAUGACUCUGCAGUGCCUGACACUUUCAGCUCUUGUCCAUGAGCACCUCAAGCCUCUGGACCAAGUCCCUCAUUCAGUUCAGAGUCAUGUGAUUUUAAAACUCCUUGAGAGAAAAAGAAGCCAAAUAAAAGCUUUUACAUGUGCAAAAGCCUGUGUGAUUCUUGGAGCUGCAGAAGCCACAUUGGACCACAAAGAAAACCUGAAGACAGAAGCCAUUCACAGGGGACAGCAGAGCCUCAUGACAGAAGGAGCCAUGGUCCUGGGAAACUUUGUGAAAAUCCCAUACCAAUUUGAAAU